UACGUAGGGACCGAGCGUUGUCCGGAAUCAUUGGGCGUAAAGAGCGCGUAGGCGGCUCGCUAAGUCUUGCGUGAAAUCUCGGGGCUCAACCCCGAGCGGUCGUGAGAAACUGGCGGGCUAGAGUGCGGGAGAGGAGAGUGGAAUUCCUGGUGUAGCGGUGAAAUGCGCAGAUAUCAGGAAGAACACCCGUGGCGAAGGCGGCUCGCUGGAACGCAACUGACGCUGAGACGCGAAAGCGUGGGGAGCAAACAGG
rnacentral:rRNA from 1 species